UACGGGGGGGGCAAGCGUUGUUCGGAAUUACUGGGCGUAAAGGGCUCGUAGGUGGCCAACUAAGUCAGACGUGAAAUCCCUCGGCUUAACCGGGGAACUGCGUCUGAUACUGGAUGGCUUGAGUUUGGGAGAGGGACGCGGAAUUCCAGGUGUAGCGGUGAAAUGCGUAGAUAUUGGGAGGAACACCAGUGGCGAAGGCGGCUCACUGGACCGGAACUGACGCUGAUGCGCGAAAGCGUGGGGAGCGAACCGG
rnacentral:rRNA from 1 species